UUGGUAUAGGCAGCAAUACAUAUAUACUAAAAAGUAUAUGGCUGCUAGUAGUUCAUCAACCAAAUAUGAUGAUAAAGUCAUUAUUCCCAUUUCUGACGACGAAGACGCUCAACAACUCCAACUUGAAGAGGCCAAGAGAUGGAUGCGGUGUCCCAACCGCCGCUUUUUUGUUGAAAAACGAUUUGGCUGUUCCAUUAUUUCUUGCAGGUGUGGGUGUCUCUUUAAUUAUGGAUGGUGAUCUGUACCCGUCCGUUUUCGACAAUACAUCACCUUUCGCGUUUAUCUGAUCGGAUAAGCUCAC